AAAAUAAUAAUUAAUUAUUAUAAAUGAUAUAGAGUGGUCAUCUUGACAACCGUUUUGUAAUGUACAAUAGUAUUAAUUACAAGUAUUUUUUUUCUUUAAAUUAGGAGGAAAUUAUAUACGGAGUACCCCUUAAAAAAAAAAGAAAUUAUAUACUGAGUAAUAAUGUACCAUUGUACCUAAAUUGAAGCAUGCGUUCAUCACUUUCACUCGAAUACCUUGAAAAAAAAACAAAGUACUUAAAAAAGUGGAACCUCCACCGUCGACCAUCAUUAUUAAAAAAAACCGCCAGCCGCUUACUGUUUUGUUCCACCGCCGCACCGCUGCUCCACCGCCGCACCAUUGCUCCACCUCCGCACAACGUCUGCACCACCGCACCUGUUCGCUGAGGCAUUGAGUAUUUCAAGCAAGUUCCUCCUACACAUUCUCAACAAAUGAUCGACGAGCUUAUGGAAAGGUGGAUUUCGUAUGUUACUGGAAAUGUGAAUUGUAGAUCAAUAUGUGGUCUUUGGAAAGAAGUGUAGGAGCUAAAACAACAAAUUAAUGCUCCAAGGCCAAUCCCUCUAGCAGACGUUGUCCAGAUCGAGCAAGCCACCCUUACUCUCCUCAAAAAUUGAUUUGAUGAACUCUUUGGGAUGAUGGUUGAAAGAAUUUAGCUCAGCUACUAUCUAGAGCGCUUCACCAGAAGACUAGACUUCAAAACCAUGUGAGACGAGUGUGAGGCCGUUGGGAAGCAUGUCUCUCCCUUUGUCGAGACCCCUUCCCCCGUCAAGAGCAAUGUUGAAGAUGGAGAGGACGAGGAAGAGGAGGCGACCAAGGAUGAGGAGCCACCCCAGACUAACAAUGCGGCUAAUGUUGGUGAUGGUGGCAAGGAGGCUGCCAAGUGAGGAGCCUACCUCUUCUACAACUUUAAGCUUAUGUCUUCUUUUUUUUUUUUAAUUUCUGCCGAACAAAUUUUUUUUAUUGCGCCUGCUUUAAGUGGUUUGGUAAUGAUAUUUUGCCGCCUUCUAAGCGGUUUUAAUUUAUGUUAACUUUUUCGCCAUCUGAUUGGUUUUAUGGAUUUUUAUGUAUUUUCAUACUUAGCAAUUUACGCAUCUUAUUUAUGCUUUGUAUUUCUUUUUCGUAAGAAUAAUGGGGUAUGCCCUUUUAUUCGGCGUUUGCCAAGUCUACAUUCUGAAUAGUUUGAUUAACUUAGUAGAUUUUAUACCUUGAA